AAAAACAUCGCCUCCCGCAAAUCAUGUAUAGGAGGUCUUACCUGCCCAGUGAUGAAUUAAACGGCCGCGGUAUAUUGACCGUGCGAAGGUAGCGCAAUCACUUGUCUUUUAAAUGAAGACCCGUAUGAAUGGUGGAACGAGGGCUUAACUGUCUCCCCCCUUAAGUCAGUGAAAUUGAUCUAUCCGUGCAGAAGCGGGUAUAACUAUACAAGACGAGAAGACCCCGUGGAGCUUAAGACAUUGAGGCCAAUUAUAUUAAAACCCGUAACUACGGCCAAGCCUAAUAAUACCUGGUCCCAGUCUUCAGUUGGGGCGACGAGAGGAAAAAACAAACCACCUCUGUGGAAUGGUAUACAAACCUAAACCAAGAGAGACAUCUCUAAUACACAGAACAUCUGACCAUUAAAGAUCCGGCCAUAUAACCGAUAAACGGACCAAGUUACCCCGGGGAUAACAGCGCAAUCCCCUCCUAGAGUCCUUAUCGACGAGGGGGUUUACGACCUCGAUGUUGGAUCAGGACAUCCUAAUGGUGCAGCCGCUAUUAAGGGUUCGUUUGUUCAACGAUUAAAGUCCUACGUGAUCUGAG
rnacentral:rRNA from 1 species